rnacentral:rRNA from 1 species
UUAAACAUUUAUGGCUAUUAGAUGGGUAUGCGUCCUAUUAGUUAGUUGGUUAAGGUAACGGCUUACCUAAGGCGAGCGAUAGGUAGGGGUCCGUGAGAGGGAGAUCCCCACACUGGUACUGAGACACGGACCAGACUCCUACGGGAGGCAGCAGUGAGGAAUAUUGGACAAUGGGCGAGAGCCUGAUCCAGCCAUGCCGCGUGCAGGAAGACUGCCCUAUGGGUUGUAAACUGCUUUUUACAGAGGAAGAACCACCCCCACGUGUGGGGGGUUUGACGGUACUCUGCGAAUAAGGAUCGGCUAACUCCGUG